rnacentral:rRNA from 1 species
GAUGAACGCUGGCGGCGUGCCUAAUACAUGCAAGUCGAGCGAACAGACGAGGAGCUUGCUCCUCUGACGUUAGCGGCGGACGGGUGAGUAACACGUGGAUAACCUACCUAUAAGACUGGGAUAACUUCGGGAAACCGGAGCUAAUACCGGAUAAUAUAUUGAACCGCAUGGUUCAAUAGUGAAAGACGGUUUUGCUGUCACUUAUAGAUGGAUCCGCGCCGCAUUAGCUAGUUGGUAAGGUAACGGCUUACCAAGGCGACGAUGCGUAGCCGACCUGAGAGGGGGAUCGGCCACACUGGAACUGAGACGCGGUCCAGACUCCUACGGGAGGCAGCAGUAGGGAAUCUUCCGCAAUGGGCGAAAGCCUGACGGAGCAACGCCGCGUGAGUGAUGAAGGUCUUCGGAUCGUAAAACUCUGUUAUUAGGGAAAAACAAAUGUGUAAGUAACUGUGCACGUCUUGACGGUACCUAAUCAGAAAGCCACGGCUAACUACGUG